CCGUAGGUGAACCUGCGGAGGGAUCAUUGCUGGAACGCGCUUCGGCGCACCCAGAAACCCUUUGUGAACUUAUACCUAUUUGUUGCCUCGGCGUAGGCCGGCCUCUUCACUGAGGCCCCCUGGAAACAGGGAGCAGCCCGCCGGCGGCCAACUAAACUCUUGUUUCUAUAGUGAAUCUCUGAGUAAAAACAUAAAUGAAUCAAAACUUUCAACAACGGAUCUCUUGGUUCUGGCAUCGAUGAAGAACGCAGCGAAAUGCGAUAAGUAAUGUGAAUUGCAGAAUUCAGUGAAUCAUCGAAUCUUUGAACGCACAUUGCGCCCUCUGGUAUUCCGGAGGGCAUGCCUGUUCGAGCGUCAUUUCAACCCUCAAGCCUGGCUUGGUGAUGGGGCACUGCCUUCUAACGAGGGCAGGCCCUGAAAUCUAGUGGCGAGCUCGCUAGGACCCCGAGCGUAGUAGUUAUAUCUCGUUCUGGAAGGCCCUGGCGGUGCCCUGCCGUUAAACCCCCAACUUCUGAAAAUUUGACCUCGGAUCAGGUAGGAAUACCCGCUGAACUUAAGCAUAUCAAUAAGCG
rnacentral:rRNA from 1 species